UGACAGGCUUGCAGGCUGGCGGCUCCCAAAUUCCUUAUGAGCCCCGACCCUAAUUUGUUAUUAUUCAGGCGCUCAGGCGUGUCUGACUCUUGGCGACCCUGUGGACUGCAGCAUGCCAGGCCUCCCUGUCCAUCACCAACUCNNNGAGUUUGCUCAAACCCAUGUCCAUUGAGUCGGUGAUGCCAUCCAGCCAUCCCGUCCUCUGUCGUCUCCUUCUCCUCCUGCCUUCAAUCUUUCCCCAUCAGGGUCUUUUCCAAGUAAAUCCUAGUUUAGAAUCAAAUAUAUCCAUCCACAUAUAACUCAGUGACUUCCAGCCCAGCACCCCUCAAAGGGAGCUCAUGAAGCUUUCCUCAAUCUGCCUUUAGAAGCCCUGUCAGCCCCUCUGAAGCCACAGCCCGGCUAGAAGCCCACAAGUGGCCUCCUUCCCCCUCUCCACUCCCGCCCACCACGGCCUGCCAUGAGGCCCCCUCCUCUUCCUCGGCCCACCCCUGCCGACCCCUCAGCCGCGCGGCAUUGCUCCAGUGCUCCCCGCCUCGCCUCGUCCCUCCAGCCUGCUCCCGGCGCUGCUUCCAGGGAGCGCCCCUCAAACAGCAGAGCAACUGCACCCUUCUGUCUCAUUCCCAGGCCCCGAGCGGCUCCCCGGCCACAGUGAGCUGGCCCCGCUGACGCCCUCGGCCCCACCCCCCUCCGCAAGCCCAUCUCCCACCUUCGGCUCCGCGUGCUGCGGGGAGCAUCAGCCCAAGGCCUGGCCGUUUCAGCUGACCCCGGCUCACACUGCGUUUCCACGCUCCUCAGGACCCUGCCCAGACGCAGAGGACGGACCGGUUCCAACAGUGCCUGGCACCGGGUAACAGCUGUGGAAGGAUCUGUGGGAUGAAUACGUAAAUAAAUUGGGAUCAAGACGAUUGAAACAGCUCAAUCCAUAAAGACUGUGCCAUGCUCCAGAUGGACUCCUGACACACGAAGCAUCUCAGGAUUGUCUGGAGCUGAGCCCGCGUGGUCGGAGGUCACCACCGGGGGUCUCCCAGGCCCUGGUGUGGACCACCGAUGGGACGGAGCAAGGGCGCUGAGCGCGGCCGGGCCUCCGGUUCUCCUGCCGGGCCUGCCUGCUGGUCUCCCCGAGGGGGCCCCGAAACCUGUUGCCUCACAGCCCAGCGCUUUCAGCUCACGGAACACGACUAGGCCGCGGGCGUGGACCACUCCAGGAACCAAGUCCUCAAUUGGGGUUAGGAAGAAGAUGAAGGAAGCAAGAAAACGGAGUCCCAGAGGAGUGAGAUGUCAGCCAGCAUGGACGGCAGGACCAGACACCUCAUGAUGUGAAUGGGGGCCCCAGGGGACGAGGGGCCCUCGGAGUGAGCGCCACGCAGUACGUCUGGACCGUGAGAGAUGGCGUAUCCCAGGGAAACCCCUCACCUGGGGCUGGACCAUGAAACAGCACAACAGGCAACUGAACAGAGCCCCCAGAGGGGCUCCCCCACCUGGCUCUGCGAUGCUGUUUUCAGUGAAAAUUAGUACUGGCUGCUUCCAGCUUUCACCUUGAACUCAGCUGACUGUAUCUUCUCUCACUCAUUAUAAUGAUAACACCGUGUACAUCGUAAAGGU
rnacentral:lncRNA from 1 species